GGUUUUAUGAUUACCGGUCACACACAUUUACUAUUUCUCUUGGUUAGUUGCAUUAGGCUAGUCGGACAUUAGUUGCCUUUGCAUGAAUUCAUUAAAUAAAUUAGCUGGGUCUCAUGAAUGCCCAUGGGUUGAGAGGUGUAGCUUUAUGUGUCUGUUUUAGGUGCUUUCUUUGUGCCUUAUGUCAUCUUCUUCAUCUGCUGUGGGAUCCCAGUCUUCUUCCUGGAAACAGCGCUAGGUCAGUUCACUAGUGAAGGGGGUAUAACAUGUUGGCGAAAAGUCUGCCCGCUGUUUGAAGGCAUUGGCUAUGCGACACAAGUCAUCGAGGCCCACUUGAAUGUUUAUUAUGUGGUUAUAUUGGCUUGGGCCAUUUUCUACCUGUUCAACUGCUUUACAACAGAGCUGCCCUGGGCAUCAUGUGGUCACUACUGGAACACGGAAAACUGUGUGGAUUUUAACAAUGAAAGCAUUGCCAACCUCACCAACCCAUAUGCCACAUCACCAGUCAUUG